rnacentral:rRNA from 1 species
UACAGAGGUGGCAAGCGUUGUUCGGAAUUACUGGGCGUAAAGGGCGCGUAGGCGGCCAUCUAAGUCAGACGUGAAAUCCCUCGGCUCAACCGGGGAACUGCGUGUGAUACUGGCGGGCUUGAAUUCGGGAGAGGGAUGUGGAAUUCCAGGUGUAGCGGUGAAAUGCGUAGAUAUCUGGAGGAACACCGGUGGCGAAGGCGGCAUCCUGGACCGAGAUUGACGCUGAGGCGCGAAAGCUAGGGUAGCAAACGGG